AAAAAAAUUUGCACACACUCACAGCCAUCUUCCUCAUAAUUCACGCCACUAUCUCUCUCUCUCUCUCCCAAAAACAGAACCAAAAACUCUCUCUCUCUCUUCUCCUUUCUCUCGUAGCUCGAGCAGAAGUGAAGCCUAGCAGCUCCAGCGACUUUUGCUUCUUCUUGUGUGAGUUUGAAAGCAGAUUCUUGGAGAGCAUCGAGCCACCAGUAAAGCCAAGUAACUGGUAAGGAAAUGAUGAGUUCCUAAGCUAGAAUUUAUCCGCCGUUUGUCGAGGAAACUUGCGGAACUUGCUGAAUGGUGGAGGAUUAAGUGUGAUGAUUCUGUUUUGUGUUGAAAUAGGCUAGAUGAGCACUAAAUUGAAGAUGUGAGUCCUUGCAUGUCAUGAUAAGGCUUUGAAUGGUUAAAGAAUUGAGUGCGAGGGAGCUGAGUUUGGUCGAGUUGGAGGAAAGGCAACUGCUGAGUGAAGAUAGGCGUUACAAGUUGCUGUUGAGGUGUCGAGAUGCGAAUACUUGUCUUGAAUCGAGCUGUGGAUUGCUGUGUGUAGGUGAAGAGCCACUGAGGUCACUUUUAGAUGCUGUUGAAGAGGUGUCAGGGUACUAAAAGAGAAGUUAUAGAUGAGCUAAAUAGCUUAGUUGAGCUGUAUAUAGGGAUAGUAGUUCAGAAUGUUCUGGUUAGGAAAAAUAGAGAUGGAAAACUUACUAGUUAUGCAUCGCUUGAGGUUUUAAAAUGUGUAGUUAAAGAAAAGAACUAGUUUACUUAAGAGUGUACUAUAACUAUUUUUUAGGUUUCGACCUCUAGUUGUAGUGAGAUUCUUGUGAAAACGUGUUGGCGAGAUCAUUCUCCCUUAGAACAGUAAGCUGAUCUGCAGAAAACAGCAAAACCUUAGAUAGUUCUACGAAUUUUCUGUAAUUUUCUAGAUAGAAUUGGACCUUAAACCCUUCAUUAAAGUUGUAGGAAACAUAUUUAGGAACAACAUAUCAAAAUUUGAGAACAAACGGUCGAGAUUUGGGCAGUGAAAUGAUCAUUUUUCAGUAGACACUUAAUCUGGAAGUUGCUGCAGAAUUUAGGGGUAAAGACAGCAAAUUACUGCUUUUUAUACAAUAAGAUAUAGGCUUAGGUUUCUUCACAAAAAAUGUUAAUCUAUGUCUCUUCUAUACCAUACUAAAAUUUUGUAGCAUUUCAAUGAGAUUUGAUGCACGUUCUGCUUCUGUAAUUGAAACUACCUGUGUCAGCUUGUAUCCUGCCUUGAUCCGAGACUGUGCAAUGGAUGUUGUGCCUCUUGUACCUGAUUUUCAUGGCAUAUAGAGAGUCUAAUGGUCUUGUGAUAAUGGUUAGUUUGUGCAUGAGCAUGCCACUUCCAUAAUUUGAAGUGUGGUCAUUGUAUAGUUAUCAAUUGUGGCAUGUGUGUGCAAUGAGUAUGACAUGAAUGAAAUAUUGUGAGAGCAUGAGUCCUGCUUGAAGUGAUUGUGUGUACUCUUGAGGUCUUAUGCAUGCUGUGAGGUGAUACAAUUCAGAGGUUUGAUGUGUGAAAUGUGUGAAUUAAAUGAGUAAGAGAUUUCCAUCGGUACUGAGAUGCCAGUAAUGCCCCAGGGAGUGGGAUGCCCAUGCUGUGUGAUCUUGAAUGCCUCGGUUGAGUGAGAUAUCAGGAUGCCUCGGAGUUGAGAUGCCCCUAUGUGUGAUCAGGGAUGCCUUGGAGUGAGAUGCCCCAUGCCGAGUGAUCUUAGGAUGCCUCAGUUGUGUCACUUGUGUGAUACCGGAAUGCCUCGAAGUGAGAUGCACAUGAUAGUAAUAUUGUGGAAGUUCGGAUGUGGGAUUCCAAAAGUGACUCGAUCGAGCCGGCUUGCGUUCCGAUGGGUAAACUGAUCGAGGGUGGACUUGAUAUACACACUAUAAUGUACAUUUCACUUGCCGUAUGAGUUCGCCUGCUGCUGUUGCAUAUCAUCUUAACUUAGAUUAGGAGCAUGAGUGUACAUUUUAGUAUUCUUUUAGUUAUUCUUGUGACAAUCUUGCCAUAGUAGGCUGACUUAUUUGGUUGUGUUCUCUUGUUUACUUUGGCAACUGUGGAUUGUCCAGUUUAAGGUUUUAUUAUUUCUUUAUUGGGUAUUGCUCAU
rnacentral:lncRNA from 1 species